UGGGUACAGCUGAUUUGGCUGCAGUGAAGUUUUCACUCUUGUUUUAUAGCCCUGGAAGAAGGCCAGGCACUGGAGAGAGCCAGCAGGAAUAUGAGAUACUGCCAUGUGUUGGGACAGCCUGGAAAUGAAUGUCAUUUAUUCUCAGCUUUGAGAACUGAAUUCCAUGGGUUGUAAUUGAAUCUGCUGUCAGACCCAUGGGGCUUAGUUCUUCAGCUUGGAUAUUUCUGUCUUCGCAUACACAGAGAUCAAAGCAGCACUUGAUCAUUUGCCACCCCUUCUGGAUGGUGAUGGCAGCAAACAGGAGAGGAAGCAUAACUGAUGUGAAUAAUUUCAGCACAGAGGGGUCACUGCAAAGGCCUGGCUCUCAUGGUGUUGAAGAGUUUCAAUUGUGGCUGUCUGAGAUGUACUGUGCUCACCAGUUUAGAAAUUACAGUUCUUGAACAAGCUUCUGUGGUUCCACCAGCUCCUCCUGUGGGAAUAUCCAUUAAACAAGAUGGAGAAACAGAGCAAAGGAUAAUAUCGAAAUUUUUCUUUUUAUUUUCCUCUAUCAUCCCUGAGGUCAGAGUUGGCAAAAUCUUCUAGAGAAGAGAGUUUCUAGAGAAGAGAAUUUACAGUAUGUCUGGUGCAGGCAGUGUGGUGGAUAUUAGAUAGCUGAAGCUGCAAAACUUCAUCCUCUUCCUUCACUGUGAAGCCCAGCCUCUGGGCAGUGAUGCAAGGUGUGCAAUGAUGAUGUGUGCAAGGUGGUAACAAGGCCAUGGAUGGAAUCAAGGAGUACAGAAGUCUUUGCAGCCACAUCUAUGUGACAAAAUAAAAAUAUGGUCUGCCUGGAUGUUCCUGUGCACUACAGUUGCUGCUUGGUGAGAGAACAGUUUAAAAUGAAUAGGUACAGAGCUAUUUUGAAAGCAGAUGCAAGCCUGCCUUUCAGCACUGCAGUGACCAUUCAGUGUUCUUCCUUAAGCCCAGGCUACUGUAGUUGCCUUUGAAGCUUGCUUGCCCUUCAUGACAAAGCAUCCUCUAUUGGGAUAUCCUUGAUAUAUCUAAGCCAGCUCAUCCACCAAGAUUCUCUUCUCCUUGCUUCAAGAUAAUGCUUGAAUCUGGUGAAAAAAGCAAAUCUGUGCUGGAAGGCCUGAUGAACUGCUUCAGAAGCAAAAUGGGAACAAACAGAAAAGAGGAGCUGCAGCAGUACCUGGUCUGUAGAUGCUGUUGUGUUUCACUGUGCAGGUCAGGGGAGACAGUGCCUUGUGGCAUUGACCACUGCUCCCUUUUGCUGCCUCCCACCCAUUAUCCUCUCCUCUGCAUUUCCUCCUUACCCUG